rnacentral:misc_RNA from 1 species
GUAGGUGAACCUGCGGAAGGAUCAUUAACACGUAUCCACGUUUAAUAACCCGAGAAUUUCUUAGGAGUAGCUUAUUCGAGAAAGGGGUGCUUUUCCUGCUCACGCUUGCCGUAAGUGAGUAAAAGCUCCCUGUUCAUUUAGCGAUGAGCUAUUGAAUUCGCUUCCUAUGAAAAUAAACGACUCUCUUUAAAAAUCUUCGGAUUUUUAAAUUGAGAAGUUUGUUUUUUACCUCUCUUAAAACUUCGGUCUCAUUUGAGGUAUAAAAACUUGAAACCCCUUUUUUUCUAAACUAAAAGCUGUCUCUUGUGGACCGCUUUUAACCGAAUGCUGUACAACUCUUAGCAACGGAUAUCUUGGUUCUG